AUCUUUUCAGGGACAUCCAAUAAAAUUGGAACGAUACAGAGAAGAUUAGCAUGAUCCCUGCGUAAGGAUGACACGCACAAAUCGAGAAAUGGUCCAAAUUUUU